rnacentral:rRNA from 2 species
AUUGAACGCUGGCGGCAGGCCUAACACAUGCAAGUCGAGCGGCAGCGGGAAAGUAGCUUGCUACUUUUGCCGGCGAGCGGCGGACGGGUGAGUAAUGCCUGGGGAUCUGCCCAAUCGAGGGGGAUAACUACUGGAAACGGUAGCUAAUACCGCAUACGCCCUACGGGGGAAAGCAGGGGACCUUCGGGCCUUGCGCGAUUGGAUGAACCCAGGUGGGAUUAGCUAGUUGGUGAGGUAAUGGCUCACCAAGGCGACGAUCCCUAGCUGGUCUGAGAGGAUGAUCAGCCACACUGGAACUGAGACACGGUCCAGACUCCUACGGGAGGCAGCAGUGGGGAAUAUUGCACAAUGGGGGAAACCCUGAUGCAGCCAUGCCGCGUGUGUGAAGAAGGCCUUCGGGUUGUAAAGCACUUUCAGCGAGGAGGAAAGGUUGAUGCCUAAUACG